UUUUCUCUCCUCUCUUCUGCUCUGCCUCUUAUUUUUCUUCUCUGGCGAUGAAACCCUAGUUUCAUCACAGUUCGUCACUACAAUCGUACUAGCCGGGAAACCAUCACACAAAUCUCUUUAAUCUUUUCAAUAGCCUGAAAUCAUCGAUCUGUUUAGGGUUUGAAGAACUUUGAAGAUUGAAGAAUUUUGAAGACUUUGUAGGUAGCUUUGAUGUAAAUGGUGUUGAUUCGGCCGAAGGAGCAAUUGACGUUUGGGUAGAUUAAGUGGACUUACUUUACACCCGUGUGAAAUCGUUGAUGGUCUCAGUGUUUCUUUCUGCAGUCUUGUAACUUUCUGAAGAGCCAGAAGAGGAUCCUUUUUCCAAGAGACAAACAACAUAGAAGCACCGGUUACGUAAUAUGAAACUAGCUGCGAAAGUUGGUGCUUUUCUAAGGUAGUUCAGCUAUAUCCACUUGACAUACAUUCACCGGGCAACCCUGUAUUUUAGCUAUAUACUUCUGUGAAAUGGAGGAUAUGUGCUUCAUCAAAAGAUGUGCCUCUCAAACAAAGACACACCAUCUCUUAGUUUUCGAGCUAAUAAAUCUCAGCCUUUUUGAGCAUCGCGUAAUAUCUGCCCUGACUUAUACGGAUCUUUUUGUUAUACUUGUGCCGUCCAAACUUUUGUACGUAUACUGACUGAUGCUCAUGUUAGGAAAUAAGUGGAUUUCCUGUUUUGGGCCUUUUCCACAUUGGGUGGGUUUCCUAAUCUAGGUGGUACAAAAUUUAGGAAAGAGUAUAGUUUCCUAGUUGGAGACUAAUACUUGGUGACCAAGUUUGUGUUCUCUAUAUAUAUGAAUAGAAUUGUAGGUUUCUAGACAUCCAACCUAGAGGAGUGGUGAAUCCUUGUGCUUACGAUUUUGGUCUGUUUGGUCGGGAGGAUCGUGUGCUACAGUGAAGGUCGAUAUCGGUGUGAGAGAAAAACUUGUAGAGAGAGGAUUUUGGUGUUUUAGGGUUUAGGGCUUUGUCCUAACCCUAGUUUCUAGUGUUUCCAUGUUUCUCCUCUGUUACUAGCGACUAUGAAGACGGUGUAAAAGAGAAGAUAUGAGGCUGGUUUCUAGAAUGGUUUAGAGAGUUGGUUUCUAUGGUUUCUUCAAUGGUGUUCUCGGGUAUGUCUUGUUAAUUCUUUGGUAUUGUCUCGGGUUGCGUAAAGAGCAUGUAAUGGUCUUUGAUUUAAUGAAAGUUUUUUUGGUGGUGUUGGCCGUGGAUGUAGCCUAUAAAGGUGAACCA